rnacentral:lncRNA from 1 species
UGUUCCCCUCCCUGUGUCCCAUGUGUUCUCGCUGUUCAACUCCCACUUAGGAGCGAGAACAUGCGGUGUUUGGUUUUCGCUUCCUGUGUCAGUUUGCUGAGAAUGAGGCCUUCCAGCUUCAUCCACGUUCCCGCAGAGGUCAUGAACUCAUCCUUUUUUAUGGCUGCGUAGUAAUUCCAUGCUGUAUACGUGCCACACUUUCUUUAUCCAGCCUAUCAUUCAUGGGCAUUCGAGUUGGUUCCAAGUCUUUGCUAUUGUAAAUAGUGCUGCAGUAAACAUACGUGUCCACGUGUCUUCCUAGUAGGAACUUCUUCCUCUUCAGCCCGCUGAGUAGCUGGCACUUUAAGGCAGGUGCCAACGCACCGGCAGCAAGCUUCCUUUUUUGCCCGGGAAAAACUGAGGUGCAGGUAGUAUAAGCCAUUGAUCACGGAACGCACAGGAGCAGAGCUCGAGUCCAAGCAUCGUGGCUCCACCCGUCAUGCUGGAUGCAUCUUUAGGCUCCGCUCUAGAAAUCUUGUCUGUCCUCGGAAGAACUCCCCCUGCUUCUUUCUCUAAAGGCUGUCUUCAGGCCGGGCACAGUGGGAGGAUCGCUUGAGCCCAGAAGGCCGCAGUGAGGUGAGAUCGCGCCAUUGCACUGCAGCCCCCGGCGGCAGAGCCGGAGCCCCGUCUCGAAACAAACAAACAAAAACCAACCAACCAACCAACCAACCAACAAACAAACACAGACAAAGAAAGAAAGAGCCCAGGCAACCUAGUGAAAACCUGUUCGGGCUGGGGCGUACCUGUACCCCAGCUGUUCCGGAGGCUGAGGCCAGGAGGAUGGGUGGACGCUGGGAGGUGGAUGCUGCAGUGAGCAGUGAUUGCACCACUGCACUCCAGCCUGGGUGACAGAGCCAGACCCCGUCCCAAAUAAAUAAACAUAAAAAUAAAGGAACCAGUUUGUAGAAAGCGGGAGAGGGUCCCAUUGAACUUCAAGCCUUCGAGCAACAGCUGUGGCUGGACAGGUUGGACAGCAGGCUGGAGCAGUCGCCAUCUUGGCAGGGAUCAUUGACCCUGAUCUAUCGUCGGGAGGAGGAAGAGCUGAUCUUACGCAGGAG